rnacentral:rRNA from 1 species
GACGUAGGAGGCGAGCGUUGUCCGGAUUCAUUGGGCGUAAAGAGCGCGCAGGCGGUCAUUCAAGUCGAGUGUGAAAGCCCCCGGCUCAACUGGGGAGGGUCACUCGAUACUGUUUGACUCGAAGGCGGGAGAGGGAAGUGGAAUUCCCGGUGUAGUGGUGAAAUGCGUAGAUAUCGGGAGGAACACCAGUGGCGAAGGCGACUUCCUGGCCCGUUCUUGACGCUGAGGCGCGAAAGCUAGGGGAGCAAACGGG